rnacentral:tRNA from 1 species
CAGGGAGACAAUAAAUUGAUUGUGAUGUCUAAGUUUUUUAUUCUUAGGCCGCAAUCCUGUCACCUUAAGGUCGAUCGGUACCUCAGAUUUUUGAAUUAGUUUUUAUUAAUUCUUUGAUUUCAGUUCCUAAACUUGUCUAGGUCACACCCAACAAAGGUUUCUCCUGGGCCAUUAGCUCAGGUGGUUAGAGCGCACCCCUGAUAAGGGUGAGGUCCCUGGUUCAAGUCCAGGAUGGCCCAUUCGUUGUUGGGGGUAUAGCUCAGUUGGUAGAGCGCCUGCUUUGCAAGCAGGAUGUCAGCGGUUCGAGUCCGCUUACCUCCACUGAAAACUAUCCUGAUAACUAAAUUUCGGAGAAAAAUUUGUAGAAGUGGCUUAGAAUUGUCUGUCUGAAAAGAACCUAGCUUCUUGUCAUCUUUUUAUAGUUGAUAACAUGCUGGGCUCCCAUGGAUUAUUUCCAUGAGAAUUCAGUAGAACCUUGAAAACUGCAUAGAUUAGAAAGAAUAAAGCAUCUCAUGGAUGCAUAAUUCUGGUUUUAAUAAUUUAGCCUCAAAACUAAAUUACUUAGUUCUAGAAUUCAUGUUUAAUUCUUGAGUAAAAGCCGAGCAAAAUUAAUUUUUUGAUUGUAUUUAA